AGCGUAGACGGCAUGGCAAGCCAGAUGUGAAAGCCCGGGGCUCAACCCCGGGACUGCAUUUGGAACUGUCAGGCUAGAGUGUCGGAGAGGAAAGCGGAAUUCCUAGUGUAGCGGUGAAAUGCGUAGAUAUUAGGAGGAACACCAGUGGCGAAGGCGGCUUUCUGGACGAUGACUGACGUUGAGGCUCGAAAGCGUGGGGAGCAAACA
rnacentral:rRNA from 1 species